rnacentral:rRNA from 1 species
UGGGGAAUAUUGCACAAUGGGCGCAAGCCUGAUGCAGCCAUGCCGCGUGUGUGAAGAAGGCCUUCGGGUUGUAAAGCACUUUCAGCGAGGAGGAAGGUGGUGAGCUUAAUACGCUCAUCAAUUGACGUUACUCGCAGAAGAAGCACCGGCUAACUCCGUGCCAGCAGCCGCGGUAAUACGGAGGGUGCAAGCGUUAAUCGGAAUUACUGGGCGUAAAGCGCACGCAGGCGGUUUGUUAAGUCAGAUGUGAAAUCCCCGGGCUCAACCUGGGAACUGCAUUUGAAACUGGCAAGCUAGAGUCUCGUAGAGGGGGGUAGAAUUUCCAGGUGUAGCGGUGAAAUGCGUAGAGAUCUGGAGGAAUACCGGUGGCGAAGGCGGCCCCCCUGGACGAAGACUGACGCUCAGGUGCGAAAGCGUGGGGCAGCAAACAGGAUUAGAUACCCUGGUAGUCCACGCUGUAAACGAUGUCGAUUUGGAGGUUGUNCCCCUGAGGCGUGGNUUCCGGAGCUAACGCGUUAAAUCGACCGCCUGGGGAGUACGGCCCGCAAGG